GAUGAACGCUGGCGGCGUGCCUAAUACAUGCAAGUCGAGCGAACAGACGAGGAGCUUACUCCUCUGACGUUAGCGGCGGCCGGGUGAGUAACACGUGGAUAACCUACCUAUAAGACUGGGAUAACUUCGGGAAACCGGAGCUAAUACCGGAUAACAUGUUGAACCGCAUGGUUCAACAGUGAAAGACGGUCUUGCUGUCACUUAUAGAUGGAUCCGCGUCGCAUUAGCUAGUUGGCAAGGUAACGGCUUACCAAGGCAACGAUGCGUAGCCGACCUGAGAGGGUGAUCGGCCACACUGGAACUGAGACACGGUCCAGACUCCUACGGGAGGCAGCAGUAGGGAAUCUUCCGCAAUGGGCGAAAGCCUGACGGAGCAACGCCGCGUGAGUGAAGAAGGUCUUCGGACCGUAAAACUCUGUUAUUAGGGAAGAACAAAUGUGUAAGUAACUAUGCACGUCUUGACGGUACCUAAUCAGAAAGCCUCGGCUAACUACGUG
rnacentral:rRNA from 1 species